CAGGGUCUUUCCGUCUGUUUAUUAAAAACAUUUCUAGUUUGAAUGUUAACUAGUAGUGCCUGCCCAAUGUUGGUUUAGUAAAUAAAUGGCCGCAGUAUAUUGACUGUGCAAAGGUAGCAUAAUUAAUUGCCUUUUAAUUGAGGGCUUGUCUGAAUGGUUUGACGUGAGAGAU
rnacentral:ncRNA from 1 species